rnacentral:tRNA from 1 species
GAGGAUAUAGCUCAGUGGUAGAGUGUGUGCUUAAUAUGCACGAGGUCGUGGGUUCAAUCUCCAAUACCUCCA